UAUGCCUGACUCCAGCCUUCACCGCUCCCCGUAUUGGCUUCACCUCUGGCCGGUUCCGUGUGUCCGCCGACUUCUCGGAGUGCAGCUAGUCACUGAACAUGGGCCUUAUGACUGACCACAGCAGAGCGAUCUCGGGCGUAACAGGGAGCGGCAACAUCAAGGCCUCUUGGUCCCAGUUCCGACGAACGCUGCUGUUUUGUCUUGUUUUGUGUUUGUUUGGUUUCGUUUCAUUCCGUUUGAGGAAUCGGUUGUGUUUAACUACCACGAAGUCAGCCCCUACUUGAUUAACUGAAGUGACGACAGGUGUGCUGCUGUUUGCUUCCCGAGUGACAACGAAUUCAGUUCGGCUGGGGAGGCUAUUUCUUAGCCUGUUACACUGCGUGUCAUGAUUGUCACCACCCCCUGCGUGUAUGAUUGUGGUGAUUCACACUGUUUGCCGUGACAACUGCGUGCAUUUGAUGUG